CCUACGGGUGGCAGCAGUGGGGAAUAUUGCACAAUGGGGGAAACCCUGAUGCAGCGACGCCGCGUGAGCGAUGAAGUAUUUCGGUAUGUAAAGCUCUAUCAGCAGGGAAGAAAAUAACGGUACCUGACUAAGAAGCCCCGGCUAACCACGUGCCAGCAGCCGCGGUAAUUCGUAGGGGGCAAGCGUUAUCCGGAUUGACUGGGUGUAAAGGGGGCGUAGACGGCUGUGCAAGCCAGAGGUGAAAGCCCGGGGGUCAACCCGGGGACUGCAUUGGGAACUGUGUGGCUGGAGUGUGGGAGAGGCAGGCGGAAUGCGUGGUGUAGCGGUGAAAUGCGUAGAUAUAAGGAGGAA
rnacentral:rRNA from 1 species